rnacentral:lncRNA from 1 species
GGGUCAUGGUAUUUGGGAAAAUUCUUCAUUGUCUUCCUCUUCAUUCUGAGAUGAAGUUGUUUCACUUUCUUCUUCGAGUAUCUGUAACAGCUGCUUUUUGAGUUCUUCUUUAGUAGCUUGAGGAUUUUGCUUUUUCAUUUUGUUGACAUAUUAUGCAAAGCUAUUUGGAUGCUCAUUUGGUAUUUGGUUUGGAAUUUUCUUCAUUUUGAUUUUCUCUUGGUCAAGGGACUUAAGAAUCAAACACGUCCCACCAUUUUAUGAAUAUUUUCUUUCCAAGCCUGGGAAUGUAUUCCCAAUCAUUUGUUGUAUUUUCUGAUAUUGCAUAUUCC